rnacentral:rRNA from 1 species
UAACCUGCCCAAGAGAUCGGGAUAACACCUGGAAACAGAUGCUAAUACCGGAUAACAACAGAUGAUGCCUAUCAACUGUUUAAAAGAUGGUUCUGCUAUCACUCUUGGAUGGACCUGCGGUGCAUUAGCUAGUUGGUAGGGUAACGGCCUACCAAGGCGAUGAUGCAUAGCCGAGUUGAGAGACUGAUCGGCCACAUUGGGACUGAGACAAGGCCCAAACUCCUACGGGAGGCAGCAGAC